rnacentral:lncRNA from 1 species
CUCUAGAUGAAAAAUUCAGCAUAGUCAUAGCACUUUGAAGCUGCACAAUAUGGCAUUCAAUUUUUAAGUCCUGAAAGGUUUUAGAUUGAUGGUCUUGUAUGAGUAACUGAAACCAACAUAAUAUCUUUUCGUGCGUCAACUAGAAUACAAGAGCAGAUUGUAAAAGUCUAAUUUAAGUAUGUGCAUAUCAGAUUUAAAGCCAAAAACAUUCCUGGAACUGUGUUAAAAGGAGUUCCUGAUAAUUGUACCGUGUAUGUCAUCCACAAAGGAAAGAUUUCAUCCACACGAGUUGCUUCCCGUCUAGCGCCAUCCAUCCUCACUCCACUUCUUAACCGGAUAAUGCUUUAGGCCUGCAGCAAAUCUAUUGCAUCUGAGGCAUCGUUAGUCUCCAGUUAUAAUUUCAGAAGUUAGUUAUUUCGAAGAAUAUAAUCCUAUCGGGUUGUUAUUAUUAUUUUUUUUUCUCCCUGUAGUUGUAAGUUUGAUUCUGAAUAAUUAUUAUAUGCAGGUUCUAUUUCAGGGUCUUCAAGGCCAGGAUCUGAACCAUCUCUGCAUUCCACGCAAAAUGAGGCAAACUUUAUCAAGCAUGUCAUGUUUAGUUGCUCAAAGCAUGACAUAUAUUAACUAUGUUCCAAGCAUACUCAGUUAGGUACAGAGGAUGCAUCUCUCCACAACAAUGCCUUCUGAAAUUUUCUUUUCCACUUAUUAAAGAAAAUAACUAACAGUUAAUUUUUGCAGUAGCAUGACGUGGCACCUUUAUCCAUCCCAAAAUGCUAACUUUUUACUCUGCAACAAAUCACCGUUUACUCACAGGAAGGCCCCAAAUGGCAAACCAUAUGAACUCUUGGCGCCUGAUACUAACAUAUCUUUUGUUAGUUCUGGAUGGCAAAGCGUUGAUAUGUUCCAAUUGUUGAAUUUUAAUUUAAUCAUGCUAAGAAUCAAGAAUCACCAAAAUUAAAUUAAUAAAAUGAAUUCAUACCUGCGGAAGCCAUUGUUGAUAUGAAUAAUAGUUGUAAUAGCAGUCAAGAUCUUCCUCUCCUUGUUCCUCACAAAGUAUUAGCUAUCAAUGGGGCAAGCCAAUAAAACAUACGGAGAGAAAAUGAGACCUAGCCUUUAUAUAGGAAAUAAUUGAGCCGUCUCAUUACGAUUAGAAUUCUAAUUAGGAUUUAUUUCCUGCCCACAUACUUAAAAUUACCACAUCAUAUUAAUUACAACUGGUAAGGUGUAAAAGCCCCAAUUGAUCACUUAAUAAAUUUGGCCCAAACACAAAUAUCAUUAUGAACCAUACAUCUAACCCGUAAAAUUUGCAAUCGAAUAUGAAGCCCACAUAUGGAAUUAUUCCAACAUUCUCCCACUUGGGCAAAUAUUUAAUUGCUAUAACAAAGUUUUAACACCCUGGUUAGACUACAUAGUGACCACAAAAGCAUGACUCCAAUGAUGGCACCUUACGUAACAUAAUCCGGUCCAAUAAGAAUAUUAAUACCGAACGUGAAAGUCAUUACACCAAUUAAACGAUAUAAGAUCAUUCCACGGCUACAAAUGUCAACAUCCUUAUCGACAUGGAUCCACAUCCUCCAACCAAUGUGGUAGUAUGUGGCAUAAACUUAGCACCAAAUGUGAUAAAAAACUGUGCUAAUUCAUAUCGGUCCUCAUAAUGCUUCUGAUCAAAAUGAAGUCACAUGUCUUCAAAAAAGUCACAUCUUAUGUCUUUACAUGUCAUAUCACAAUAAUAUUAUAAUAAAAAGACAUAAGUCAAAUGCAUACUCAAAAUAGUCCAUGGAUGGGGGAAAAAUAUGUUAUUUUAUUGUUAGAAGGGGCUAUACCCGAAAACAUAUAGGUUGCCUACGUACCCCGCAAAGGGAUCAAAUCCAAAAUGUAGUUCUUUACAUAAAUAACUCCUACUAACCAAAAAUAUCAGAUGUUUCCACAAUACCCACAUUAGUAACAUGUGUCUUAAAGACUUUUGGAGCAAGUCCCUUAGUCAAGGGAUCUGCAAUCAUUGCCUCUAUAUAGAUAUGCUCUAUUUUCGUCUGUCAUUCUUUGACUAUGUCUCUAACAACCAAAUAUUUGAUGUCAAUAUGUUUUAAUCCACCAGAACUUUUAUUAUUCUUUAAAAGAAUACUGCUGCACUGUUAUCACAGUAGAUGGUGAUCGGUCUUGAGAUAGAAUCAACAACUUUCAAGCCAGAGAUGAAAUUUCUUAACCAAAUGGCUUAGACUGUAGCCCCAUAACAUGCCACAAAUUCAGGUUGCAUAGUAGAAGAUGCCACUAGAGUCUGUUUAGCGCUUUUCCAAGAAAUGACACCACCAGCUAAUGUAAAAAUAUAACCUGAGGUCGAUUUCAAAUCAUCUUGACAUCCAGCAAAAUUAGAAUCUGAAUAUCCUACCACCUCAAGAUGAUUUGUACGUUGGAAUGUAAGCAUAUAACUUUCAGUUUUCUUCAAAUAUCUUAUAACUUAGUUGCUUUCCAAUGCUCUUGUCCUGGAUUAGACUGAAAUCUGCUAAGGACACUUACUGCGUAGGCUAUAUCCGGUCUAGUGCAAACUUGAGCAUACAACAAGCUCCCCACAGCACUAGCAUAUGAAAUCAUCUUCAUAGACUCCCUUUCUAGCUCAUUCCUUGGACAUUGAGUUUUGUUAAACUUAUCUCCUUUUAUGAUAGGUACAUCACCAGGUGCACAGUUUUGCAUAUUAAACAUUUCUAGAAUACGUCGUAUAUAAGCUUUUUGAGAAAGUCUCAAUAAGCCACGAUUUCUAUCAUGGUGCAUUUCAAUGCCAAGUACAUAGGAAGCUUUUCCAAGAUCUUUCAUCUCAAAAUUAGCAGAUAACAUUUUCUUUUGAAUCUAAUUUACUAUUGAAAAUUCACUUGUUAUCUACAGCCUUAGCAUCUGGAGGAAGUUCAACAAGAUCCCAAACAUUGUUCCUUUCCAUGGAAUUCAUUUCAUCUUUUAUGACAGCUAUCCAUUUAUCUGCCUCAGGACUUGUCAAUGCUUAGUUAUAAGUUACAGGAUCAACAAUAUGCCCAAUAUUAAAAUUGCUCUCCAAUAAAUAUGUAAUGUAAUCACCGGACAAUGGAGAUCUUCUUUCCCUUUGUGAUCUCCUAACUUGUGGCUCAGAAAUCGAUUCAAUCGUUGUUUGUGUAAUACUCCGAAAUUCUAUGCUCGUUUAAUUUGCUCAUUUAAUUUUUAAGAUAGCAAUUUAACUUUUCAAAAUUUAGUAUGGCCAAAAUUAUUAAUGGUUGCCAAAUUUUGCAUCGGUUGAUUUAUUAAAAGUUUUCCAAAUAAUUUGUUAAUUAGGGGUUUGGGAUAAAUGUCCAAUUUUGCACCUAAUUACCAAGGUUAAGUAUUUUUAUUUUUUUUCCUUUCCUUCCACUUGGUCGUGUAUUGCAUGUAUCAAGCAGGCAUGAGGUGUUUAAUCAAUGCAUGAAUUGUUUUAAAUUAAGCAUGAGGUGGUUAAUGAAUUCAUAGGUGUUUGAUUGAAGUAAGAAAUGCAUCCAUGCAGCCCACGUAGAGAAAAUGGUUGAAGAGUCACCUUUAAUUAAUCAUUUUCUUACCUUUAAAUAGAAAUGUUGCUGGCAUUAUUUUCCCUUGCAAGAAAAAAAAACAGAUUUUCACUUGUAUGAAAGGGCAUUCAACGUGAGAAAAAAAAAGGGAGACAAGCCUAGCACUCUCAAUUCAUCUUUCAACCGAAUUUUCUUCAAGUUUUACAGUAAGAUACUUUCUAUGCUUAAGUGGUAGGAUUUCAUGGUAAUAUUUAUGCUUAAGAUAUGCAUGAAAAACCAUAAUAUGAAUGUGGUGGACAAGUCCACAAAGUUAGAUAUCUACUUAUGCCUUAGGACAAGUCCAAAGGGCACCGGCAAGCCGGAAUGUGCACUUAUGUGUUUGAUUGCAUUCUUUUGUGUAGUAUCAACGUGUUAAAAUCCAAUCAUGGUAUCUUACUGAUUAUUCCUUAUACUCAUAGUAUUCUAUACUAAGUUUUCAGAUCCAUAAUUGCGAAGUUGGUGGAAGUCAGUCAGCAUAAUCGAUGAUGGGUUAAGGACAAGGUUGUUUUGCAUCGAAGUUUUGUUUUUGCAUGUUUUGUUCGACUGCUUUCCAUAUGUUUUCUUAUGGUAUUGUAUACAAACAUGUAUGAGACAUGAGGUAAUAUGGUACCGGAAGUAAAUUAUUCAAUUAUAUCUUCUAUGUUGUGUUAAGAGACAUUUUUUUAAAAAACUUCUCCUUGCAAGUGACAAAAGGCAGAAACGGAACAGUUUUUGGGUCAACUUCAAAACGUUAUUUCUGACUCCAUAAACGUCUAUUUGAGCUGCGUUCCUCAUUGAGUUGUCUUCAUAUGGGCACAAGAAUCACUCAAUCUGGAUAUCUGUAGCUUGAGAUAUGAAUUUUUAAACGUUGAAGGGUCAAUCUGAAAUUUCUGUGCAAUACCUCACUGUUUUCAGUAAAACGCCCAUAUCAUAUGAUUUUGGGAAUUUUUCAUAUUCUAGCCUAGAAAACUAAUUGAAAAUAUCUUUCUAAUUUCAUAAAUUUCAUAGAAAAUGGAGUUGGGAUGAAUUUUAUAAAAAUAGUUGAACUUGCUACCCCAACUAACCGUGGCAGAGCAGAGUCCGUAAAUGUAAAGUAUAAUUUUGUCGUCAUGCGCUUCUGCUGGCCAUUAAAAUUUUAUGAGAGAUAUUUUACCAAGUUGAAAAUAAGUAUCUAACAUGUAAUACUUUCAUUUAAGAGUAUUUACACAUAGCGAAGGUAGCAGUUUUUAUAUUUAGUACGUGACACUCGAAGCUUAAGUUCGGGGUGUCACAGUUUGAGGAGUUGGAGGUUCCUCCAAG